AUUGAACGCUGGCGGCAGGCUUAACACAUGCCAGUCGAGCGAGCGGCAGACGGGUGAGUAAUGUCUGGGAAACUGCCUGAUGGAGGGGGAUAACUACUGGAAACGGUAGCUAAUACCGCAUACCAUAAGAUGUGCCCAGAUGGGAUUAGCUAGUAGGUUGGGUAAUGGCACAUCUAGGCGGCGAUCCCUAGCUGGUCUGAGAGGAUGACCAGCCACACUGGAACUUAGCCGCGGGCCAGACUCCUACGGGAGGCAGCAGUGGGGAAUAUUGCACACUGUGCGAAGGCCUGAUGCAUCCAUGCCGCGUGUGUGAAGGAGGCCUUCGGGUUGUAAAGCACUUUAAUCUAGGAGGCGUUACUCGCAGAAGAAGCACCGGCUAACUCCGGGCCAGCAGCCGCUGUAAUAC
rnacentral:rRNA from 1 species